UGCAAAACAUUAGAAGAGAAUAAAGAGCCGA
rnacentral:piRNA from 1 species